rnacentral:rRNA from 1 species
CGGAGGGUGCAAGCGUUAUCCGGAUUCACUGGGUUUAAAGGGUGCGUAGGUGGGCAAGUAAGUCAGUGGUGGAAUCUCCGGGCUUAACCCGGAAACUGCCAUUGAUACUAUUUGUCUUGAGUACUGUGGAGGUCAGCGGAAUAUGUCAUGUAGCGGUGAAAUGCUUAGAUAUGACAUAGAACACCAAUUGCGAAGGCAGCUGGCUACACAAAUAUUGACACUGAGGCACGAAAGCGUGGGGAUCAAACAGGAUUAGAUACCCUGGUAGUCCACGCCCUAAACUAUGGAUACUCGACAUUUGCGAUAAGCUGCAAGUGUCUGAGCGAAAGCAUUAAGUAUCCCACCUGGGAAGUACGAUCGCAAGAUUG